UCUGUAGCAAGGUUAACCGAAUAGGGGAGCCGAAGGGAAACCGAGUCUUAACCGGGCGUUAAGUUGCAGGGUAUAGACCCGAAACCCGGUGAUCUAGCCAUGGGCAGGUUGAAGGUUGGGUAACACUAACUGGAGGACCGAACCGACUAAUGUUGAAAAAUUAGCGGAUGACUUGUGGCUGGGGGUGAAAGGCCAAUCAAACCGGGAGAUAGCUGGUUCUCCCCGAAAGCUAUUUAGGUAGCGCCUCGUGAAUUCAUCUCCGGGGGUAGAGCACUGUUUCGGCAAGGGGGUCAUCCCGACUUACCAACCCGAUGCAAACUGCGAAUACCGGAGAAUGUUAUCACGGGAGACACACGGCGGGUGCUAACGUCCGUCGUGAAGAGGGAAACAACCCAGACCGCCAGCUAAGGUCCCAAAGUCAUGGUUAAGUGGGAAACGAUGUGGGAAGGCCCAGACAGCCAGGAUGUUGGCUUAGAAGCAGCCAUCAUUUAAAGAAAGCGUAAUAGCUCACUGGUCGAGUCGGCCUGCGCGGAAGAUGUAACGGGGCUAAACCAUGCACCGAAGCUGCGGCAGCGACACUGUGUGUUGUUGGGUAGGGGAGCGU
rnacentral:rRNA from 1 species